UCCAAUGAAGCACAUUUGGAUGAACCCGGUUCAACUCUUCAUGUUUCGGUUCCACACGCAUAAACGGGUCCGGAGGGAAAAGAGGUAAUAUGGUUUAGAAAAAAAGUAUUUAUACAAAUAGCAACAUAGCACACAUAGGGGUUGUUUGUAGAGGCUUAACUGAGCUGCAACUGUGCCAUUAGCUUCGUCACAUGACUGAAAGAUAUCAUCCACAAAAUAUGAAUGUUUCGUUAUGUAAUAUAAAUCUUGAUAUUAUUUCUUACCGAUAACCCAUUUCGUACGUGAAUGUGAAGAUAACAUAAAUCAAGAUCUAUUUCAGCCAACAAAGCAUGUCAGAUAUGAAAAUACUCUUCAGUGUUAACCAUCAUUAGGAGCCAGAUCGUCCAAACUUAUAACAUGCGUGCCCUAAAAUAACUACCUGCAAAAUUUAGUGAGGAAAUCAAAAUAUGUUAAAUGUUAGAAAAUAGAUUCGUGAGACUUGAGUGGAUUUCUUCAAAAAAUCAGGGACCUAAAAAAUCAUUAUUAAACAAAUACUUACAUUCAUCUAAAACUAAAGUGUAGGAAUCCAAUACAAAAAUGGACAUUUCCAGCAGCAAAUUCAAUUGACCUUGUUCUUGUGACCGGUUAAUUCUAAUUAACACCUUCAUCUCCCCAACCAUCCAUGAUCCCUACACCAGAAACGGGAGAAUUGUUCGAACAUCAAUAUUAAAACUUAAAGUAAUGAAGAUUAAGAGUAGAACCGAGAAACGAGAACUGGCCCGGGGUCCAAAAAACGUGACCACGUUCGAUCCGGUCCGGUUCAUCAGUCUUAUCCGGUCCAAAAACUAAUAGAAAGAAAACCCAUCAGUUUUCGUCCUUCAAGUGAGAACAUAAAUGUGUCACUGAUUUAUGAAGCCAACUCAUAGGCCAUCUAAGUUAACCAACAUUCUUUUGUACAGAAGCAACUGUAGUUCCAUUUUGUUUUCGUAGACAUGAGGAGGUAUUGCAGUUUUAAUUAAAUCUUCAAUGGUCAGUGCUCCUUCUAUCAGGUUCAAUGUUCUUAAUAUGUUUUCUAUGCUAAUUGUGGUGAUAAAUCCUAUAAAAUCAGCAUCAUUGUAACAUUUCCUAUAACUUUAUCAUGGAGUAAAAUCAAAAUCAAAUUGUGUUUAUAGACAGAAUACUUAUAACUAAGCAUUAUCCAGAAAUCAGACAUAACUGAAAAUCAUAAUGAAACUUAUUAACCCCUUUCCAAGUAGAAGAAUUAUGUGAACCAAUACAAUGUGAGACAGAUCAUCAUCAGAGGUUAGAGACCCAAUAAGCAUGACAUAGUUUCACAGUAGAUAAUCUUCUAAUCUAGGUGCCUUCUUCAAUUUGAUAAAUUGAUGAUUAGGAAGGCAUGUGAGAACCUGCACAUAAAGAGAUCGACUCAUACUAAUCUUAUUAUUAACAAAAUAUAACUCUUUAACCAACAUGAAUCCCUAAGAAGAUCAAGAAAAGAUUAAUCAAUUCAAACAUUUGUUUAUGUAGAAUUAUAAGGAAUGAUAGGUAAAUGUUUUUCAAUAUUAUCAUACUUACCAAACAGUCCAUCACCAAUCACUUCCAAUUCCAUAACUAAUAAUACCCUCUCUAUUCACAACUUCCCUUCACUAAACUUUUUUAAAAAAAAUAGGAAUCAUAAAUAAAAUCAAAAGUCAAUCAAAAACUAAAAUUAAAAUGAAUCACCAACCUCUACACUAUCAAAAACAAAUUGCCAACAUCUAAAAAGAUCGGGAAGGUUUAUCGAGAAGGAUUAGGAAGGUUUAUCGGUGAGGGAAACGACCAAGUUGUCGAUCGGGACGCCAUGUAAAAUCAUGGAGUUCUCGAUGACUUAGCCACCGUCGAUCAAUAAAGGCAAGCAAAGGUUGAAUAUCGGAGAGGGAGUGUGACAGAGGAGGGGGUGCGGUGGAGAUCGACCUGAUAAGGAAGAAACUGAACAUCAAUUAGGAGUUUUCGUGGGUGGAACAUGGAAGAAGAUAGAUAGAGAGCAUAGGAAGGAAGUCAUGAGAGGGUAGUUUGGAAAAGCAGACUGCGACAUGAAUGGAUUUUUGGGGCGGUGGGUGCUCACAUGUACAGAACACGUAUCACUUCGGAAGGAAGCGGUGGAUCACACCUGGUAACCCUGCUGGUAACCGUGGUAGAUAACCAACCCACAUGUCCACCAACAAUCUAUAUAAUGACACAAAAACGCA
rnacentral:lncRNA from 1 species